rnacentral:rRNA from 1 species
CCUACGGGUGGCAGCAGUGGGGAAUAUUGCACAAUGGGGGGAACCCUGAUGCAGCGACGCCGCGUGGGUGAGGAAGUACUUCGGUAUGUAAAGCCCUAUCAGCAGGGAAGAAAAUGACGGUACCUGACUAAGAAGCCCCGGCUAACUACGUGCCAGCAGCCGCGGUAAUACGUAGGGGGCAAGCGUUAUCCGGAUUUACUGGGUGUAAAGGGAGCGUAGACGGCGUGCCAAGUCUGAUGUGAAAGGCCGGGGCUCAACCCCGGGACUGCAUUGGAAACUGGCAUGCUGGAGUGCCGGAGGGGCAAGCGGAAUUCCUAGUGUAGCGGUGAAAUGCAUAGAUAUCACACAGAACACCGAUUGCGAAGGCAUCUCACGAAUCCGCGAUUGACGCUGAUGCACGAAAGCGUGGGUAUCAAACAGGAUUAGAUACCCCUGUUC